rnacentral:lncRNA from 1 species
GGGAGAGUGCUUCAGUCGCGAUCCUGCAGGAGGGAGAAAAGUUGGCGGUGCCAGAGAUCGAGAGUGGUGCACUGGAUUCCAUGCAUGCGACAGAUGCCACAGUGGACGACACACAGCGAGCACCUCCUGCCAGUGAGGACAUUCACGACAACGUGGAAGAGGAGCAAAGCAAAGUCGAGGUGCAGCAUGAAGUUUCCGAACGCGAGGUCGAGCUUGCUGUCCCAGUAGAAGAACUCCCACAGUCGGGGAACGAAGAAGUCCAGGAGCCACAGCCUGUGCUUGAGGCCGUUCCCGAGACAGAGGCCGUGCCUGAGGCUUCUGAAGAGGAUGCCAAAGAGGUGCAACCAGCCGAGCCAGUUGUAGCUCAAGUACCAACCGCGAAAGUGGAUGACGUCUUACCCGCACACGAGGAAAUCAAGGAGGAAGAGAGCAUAGAGCAGGCCAAGGUGGCUGUGGAUGACCAGGUGGAGAAUUUCAAGCCCAGGGAGAGUGCUUCAGUCGCGAUCCUGCAGGAGGGAGAAAAGUUGGCGGUGCCAGAGAUCGAGAGUGCUGCUCCAGAUUCCAUCCAUGUGACAGAUGCCACAGUGGACGACACACAGCGAGCAUCUCCUGCCAGUGAGGACAUUCACGACAACGUGGAAGAGGAGCAAACCAAAGUCGAGGUGCAGCAUGAAGUUUCCGAACGCAAGGUCGAGCUUGCCGUCCCAGUAGAAGAACUCCCACAGUCAGGGAACGAAGAAGUCCAGCAGCCACAGCCUGUGCUUGAGGCCGUUCCCGAGACAGAGGCCGUGCCUGAGGCUUCUGAAGAGGCUGCCAAAGAGGUGCAACCAGCCGAGCCAGUUGUAGCUCAAGUACCAACUGCGAAAGUGGAUGACGUCUUACCCGCACACGAGGAAAUCAAGGAGGAAGAGAGCAUAGAGCCGGCCAAGGUGGCUGUGGAUGACCAGGUGGAGAAUGUCGAGCCCAGGGAGAGUGCUUCAGUCGCGAUCCUGCAGGAGGGAGAAAAGUUGGCAGUGCCAGAGAUCGAGAGUGGUGCACCGGAUUCCAUGCAUGCGACAGAUGCCACAGUGGACGACACACAGCGAGCACCUCCUGCCAGUGAGGACAUUCACGACAACGUGGAAGAGGAGCAAAGCAAAGUCGAGGUGCAGCAUGAAGUUUCCGAACGCGAGGUCGAGCUUGCUGUCCCAGUAGAAGAACUCCCACAGUCGGGGAACGAAGAAGUCCAGGAGCCACAGCCUGUGCUUGAGGCCGUUCCCGAGACAGAGGCCGUGCCUGAGGCUUCUGAAGAGGAUGCCAAAGAGGUGCAACCAGCCGAGCCAGUUGUAGCUCAAGUACCAACCGCGAAAGUGGAUGACGUCUUACCCGCACACGAGGAAAUCAAGGAGGAAGAGAGCAUAGAGCAGGCCAAGGUGGCUGUGGAUGACCAGGUGGAGAAUUUCAAGCCCAGGGAGAGUGCUUCAGUCGCGAUCCUGCAGGAGGGAGAAAAGUUGGCGGUGCCAGAGAUCGAGAGUGCUGCUCCAGAUUCCAUCCAUGUGACAGAUGCCACAGUGGACGACACACAGCGAGCAUCUCCUGCCAGUGAGGACAUUCACGACAACGUGGAAGAGGAGCAAACCAAAGUCGAGGUGCAGCAUGAAGUUUCCGAACGCAAGGUCGAGCUUGCCGUCCCAGUAGAAGAACUCCCACAGUCAGGGAACGAAGAAGUCCAGCAGCCACAGCCUGUGCUUGAGGCCGUUCCCGAGACAGAGGCCGUGCCUGAGGCUGCUGAAGAGGCUGUCAAGGAGGUGGAACCGGCCGAGCCAGUCGUAGCUCAAGUACCAACCGCGAAAGUGGAUGACGUUUUACCCACACACGAGGAAAUCAAGGAGGAAGAGAGCAUAGAGCCGGCCAAGGUGGCUGUGGAUGACCAGGUGGAGAAUGUCGAGCCCAGGGAGAGUGCUUCAGUCGCGAUCCUGCAGGAGGGAGAAAAGUUGGCAGUGCCAGAGAUCGAGAGUGGUGCACCGGAUUCCAUGCAUGCGACAGAUGCCACAGUGGACGACACACAGCGAGCACCUCCUGCCAGUGAGGACAUUCACGACAACGUGGAAGAGGAGCAAAGCAAAGUCGAGGUGCAGCAUGAAGUUUCCGAACGCGAGGUCGAGCUUGCUGUCCCAGUAGAAGAACUCCCACAGUCGGGGAACGAAGAAGUCCAGGACCCACAGCCUGUGCUUGAGGCCGUUCCCGAGCUUGAGGCCGUGCCUGAGGCUGCUGAAGAGGCUGCCAAAGAGGUGCAACCAGCCGAGCCAGUUGUAGCUCAAGUACCAACCGCGAAAGUGGAUGACGUCUUACCCGCACACGAGGAAAUCAAGGAGGAAGAGAGCAUAGAGCCGGCCAAGGUGGCUGUGGAUGACCAGGUGGAGAAUGUCGAGCCCAGGGAGAGUGCUUCAGUCGCGAUCCUGCAGGAGGGAGAAAAGUUGGCAGUGCCAGAGAUCGAGAGUGGUGCACCGGAUUCCAUGCAUGCGACAGAUGCCACAGUGGACGACACACAGCGAGCACCUCCUGCCAGUGAGGACAUUCACGAGAACGUGGAAGAGGAGCAAAGCAAAGUCGAGGUGCAGCAUGAAGUUUCCGAACGCGAGGUCGAGCUUGCUGUCCCAGUAGAAGAACUCCCACCGUCAGGGAACGAAGAAGUCCAGGAGCCACAGCCUGUGCUUGAGGCCGUUCCCGAGACAGAGGCCGUGCCUGAGGCUUCUGAAGAGGAUGCCAAAGAGGUGCAACCAGCCGAGCCAGUUGUAGCUCAAGUACCAACUGCGAAAGUGGAUGACGUCUUACCCGCACACGAGGAAAUCAAGGAGGAAGAGAGCAUAGAGCCGGCCAAGGUGGCUGUGGAUGACCAGGUGGAGAAUGUCGAGCCCAGGGAGAGUGCUUCAGUCGCGAUCCUGCAGGAGGGAGAAAAGUUGGCGGUGCCAGAGAUCGAGAGUGGUGCUCCAGAUUCCAUCCAUGUGACAGAUGCCACAGUGGACGACACACAGCGAGCACCUCCUGCCAGUGAGGACAUUCACGACAACGUGGAAGAGGAGCAAAGCAAAGUCGAGGUGCAGCAUGAAGUUUCCGAACGCGAGGUCGAGCUUGCUGUCCCAGUAGAAGAACUCCCACCGUCAGGGAACGAAGAAGUCCAGCAGCCACAGCCUGUGCUUGAGGCCGUUCCCGAGACAGAGGCCGUGCCUGAGGCUUCUGAAGAGGAUGCCAAAGAGGUGCAACCAGCCGAGCCAGUUGUAGCUCAAGUACCAACCGCGAAAGUGGAUGACGUCUUACCCGCACACGAGGAAAUCAAGGAGGAAGAGAGCAUAGAGCCGGCCAAGGUGGCUGUGGAUGACCAGGUGGAGAAUGUCGAGCCCAGGGAGAGUGCUUUAGUCGCGAUCCUGCAGGAGGGAGAAAAGUUGGCAGUGCCAGAGAUCGAGAGUGCUGCACUGGAUUCCAUGCAUGCGACAGAUGCCACAGUGGACGACACACAGCGAGCAUCUCCUGCCAGUGAGGACAUUCACGACAACGUGGAAGAGGAGCAAACCAAAGUCGAGGUGCAGCAUGAAGUUUCGGAACGCGAGGUUGAGCUUGCUGUCCCAGUAGAAGAACUCCCACCGUCAGGGAACGAAGAAGUCCAGGAGCCACAGCCUGUGCUUGAGGCCGUUCCCGAGACAGAGGCCGUGCCUGAGGCUUCUGAAGAGGAUGCCAAAGAGGUGCAACCAGCCGAGCCAGUUGUAGCUCAAGUACCAACCGCGAAAGUGGAUGACGUCUUACCCGCACACGAGGAAAUCAAGGAGGAAGAGAGCAUAGAGCCGGCCAAGGUGGCUGUGGAUGACCAGGUGGAGAAUGUCGAGCCCAGGGAGAGUGCUUCAGUCGCGAUCCUGGACGAGGGAGAAAAGUUGGCUGUGCCAGAGAUUGAGAGUGCUGCACCGGAUUCCAUGCAUGCAACAGAUGCCACCCUGAAGGACACACAGCGAGCAUCUUCUGCCAGUGAAGACAUUCACGAGAAUGUGGAAGAGGAGCAAACCAACGUCGCAGUGCAACAUGAAGUUUCCCAACGCGAGGUUGAGAUUGCCAUACCAGUAGAGGGAAGCCCGCAGCUCGUGAACGAAGCCGUCCAGGAGCCACAGCCUGUGCCUGAGGCCGUUCCCGAGCAUGAGGCCGUGCCUGAAGCUGCCGAAGAGGCUGCCAUGGAGGUGGAACCGGCGGAGCCAGUCGUAGCUCAAGUACCAACUGCCACAGUGGAUGACGUCUUACCCACACACGAGGAAAUCAAUGAGGAAGAGAGCAUAGAGCCGGCCAAGGUGGCUCUGGAUGACAAGGUAGAGAAUGUCGAGCCCCGGGAGAGUGCUUCAGUCGCGAUCCUGGACGAGGGAGAAAAGUUGGCUGUGCCAGAGAUUGAGAGUGCUGCACCGGAUUCCAUGCAUGCAACAGAUGCCACCCUGAAGGACACACAGCGAGCAUCUUCUGCCAGUGAAGACAUUCACGAGAAUGUGGAAGAGGAGCAAACCAACGUCGCAGUGCAACAUGAAGUUUCCGAACGCGAGGUUGAGAUUGCCAUAGCAGUAGAGGGACUCCCGCAGUUGGUGAACGAAGCCGUGCAGGAGCCACAGCCUGUGCCUGAGGCCAUUCCCGAGCAUGAGGCCGUGCCUGAAGCUGCCGAAGAGGCUGCCAUGGAGGUUGAACCGGCGGAGCCAGUCGUAGCUCAAGAACCAACUGCCACAGUGGAUGACGUCUUACCCACACACGAGGAAAUCAAUGAGGAAGAGAGCAUAGAGCCGGCCAAGGUGGCUGUGGAUGACCACGUGGAGAAUGUCAAGCCCAGGGAGAGUGCUUCAGUCGCGAUCCUGGACGAGGGAGAAAAGUUGGCGGUGCCAGAGACUGAGAGUGCUGCACCGGAUUCCAUGCAUGCAACAGAUGCCACCCUGGAGGACACACAGCGAGCAUCUUCUGCCAGUGAAGACAUUCACGAGAAUGUGGAAGAGGAGCAAACCAACGUCGCAGUGCCACAUGAAGUUUCCGAACGCGAGGUUGAGAUUGCCAUACCAGUAGAGGGACUCCCGCAGUUGGUGAACGAAGCCGUGCAGGAGCCACAGCCUGUGCCUGAGGCCGUUCCCGAGCAUGAGGCCGUGCCUGAAGCUGCCAAAGAGGCUGCCAUGGAGGUGGAACCGGCGGAGCCAGUCGUAGCUCAAGUACCAACUGCCACAGUGGAUGACAUCUUACCCGCACACGAGGAAAUCAAGGAGGAAGAGAGCAUAGAGCCGGCCAAGGUGGCUGUGGAUGACCACGUGGAGAAUGUCAAGCCCAGGGAGAGUGCUUCAGUCGCGAUCCUGGACGAGGGAGAAAAGUUGGCGGUGCCAGAGACUGAGAGUGCUGCACCGGAUUCCAUGCAUGCGACAGAUGCCACCUUGGAGGACACACAGCGAGCAUCUUCUGCCAGUGAAGACAUUCACCAGAAUGUGGAAGAGGAGAAAACCAACGUCGCAGUGCCACAUGAAGUUUCCGAACGCGAGGUUGAGAUUCCCGUCCCAGUAGAAGUACUCCUGCAGUCAGGGAACGAAGAAGUCCAGGAGCCACAGCAUGCGCUUGGGACCGUUCCCGAGCCAGAGGCCGUGCCUGAGGCUUCUGAAGAGGCUGCCAACGAGGUGGAGUCGGCCGAGCCAGUCGUAGCUCAAGAACCAACCGCCACAGUGGAUGACAUCUUACCCGCACACGAGGAAAUCAAGGAGAAAGAGAGCAUAGAGCCGGCCAAGGUGGCUCUGGAUGACCACGUGGAGAAUGUCGAGCCCAGGGAGAAUGCUUCAGUCGCGAUCCUGGACGAGGGAGAAAAGUUCGCGGUGCCAGAGAUCGAGAGUGGUGCAGCGGAUUCCAUGCAUGCGACAGAUGCCACAGUGGAGGACACACAGCGAGCAUCUUCUGCCACUGAAGAAAUUCACGAGAACGGGGAAGAGGAGCAAAGCAAUGUCGAAGUGCCACAUGAAGUUUCCGAAGGCAAAUUCGAUCUUGCUGUCCCAGUAGAAGAACUCCCACAGUCGGGGAACGAAGAAGUCCAGGAGCCACAGCUUGUGCUUGAGGCCGUGCCUGAGGCUUCUGAAGAGGCUGUCAAGGAGGUGGAACCGGCCGAGCCAGUCGUAGCUCAAGUACCAACCGCCACAGUGGAUGACAUCUUACCCGCACAUGAGGAAAUCAAGGAGGAAGAGAGCAUAGAGCCGGCCAAGGUGGCUCUGGAUGACAAGGUGGAGAAUGUCGAGCCCCGGGAGUGUGCUUUAGUCGCGAUCCUUGACGAGGGAGAAAAGUUGGCGGUGCCAGAGAUUGACAGUGCUGCACCGGAUUCCAUGCAUGCGACAGAUGCCACCGUGGAGGACACACAGCGAGCAUCUUCUGCCAGUGAAGACAUUCACCAGAACGUGGAAGAGGAGAAAACCAACGGUUACGUGCCACAUCAAGUAUCCGAACGCGAGGUUGAGAUUCCGAUCCCAGUAGAAGGACUCCCGCAGUCGGGGAACGAAGACGUCCAGGAGCCAGAGCAUGCGCUUGAGGCCGUUCCCGAGCCGGAGGCCGUGCCUGAGGCUUCUGAAGAGGCUGCCAACGAGGUGGAGUCGGCCGAGCCACUCGUAGCUCAAGUACCAACCGCCACAGUGGAUGACGUCUUACCCGCACACGAGGAAAUCAAGGAGAAAGAGAGCAUAGAGCCGGCCAAGGUGGCUCUGGAUGACCACGUGGAGAAUGUCGAGUCCAGGGAGAGUGCUUCAGUCGGGAUCCUGGACGAGGGAGAAAAGUUGGCGGUGCCAGAGAUUGACAGUGCUGCACCGGAUUCCAUGCAUGCAACAGAUGCCACCCUGGAGGACACACAGCGAGCAUCUUCUGCCAGUGAAGACAUUGACGAGAACGUGGAAGACGAACAAACCAACGUCGAGGUGCCACAUUUAGUUUCCGAACGCAAGGUCAAGCUUGCCGUCCCAGUAGAAGAACUCCCACAGUCAGGGAACGAAGAAGUCCAGGAGCCACAGCCUGUGCUUGAGGCCGUUUCCGAGCUUGAGGCCGUGCCUGAGGCUUCUGAAGAGGCUGUCAAGGAGGUGGAACCGGCCGAGCCAGUCGUAGCUCAAGUACCAACCGCCACAGUGGAUGACAUCUUACCUGCACACGAGGAAAUCAAGGAGGAAGAGAGCAUAGAGCCGGCCAAGGUGGCUCUGGAUGACAAGGUGGAGAAUGUCGAGCCCCGGGAGUGUGCUUCAGUCGCGAUCCUGCAGGAGGGAGAAGAGUUGGCGGUGCCAGAGAUCGAGAGUGGUGCACCGGAUUCCAUGCAUGCGACAGAUGCCACAGUGGAGGACACACAGCGAGCAUCUUCUGCCACUGAAGAAAUUCACGAGAACGGGGAAGAGGAGCAAAGCAAUGUCGAAGUGCCACAUGAAGUUUCCGAAGGGAAAUUCGAUCUUGCUGUCCCAGUAGAAGAACUCCCACAGUCGGGGAACGAAGAAGUCCAGGAGCCACAGCCUGUGCUUGAGGCCGUGCCUGAGGCUUCUGAAGAGGCUGUCAAGGAGGUGGAACCGGCCGAGCCAGUCGUAGCUCAAGUACCAACCGCCACAGUGGAUGACAUCUUACCCGCACAUGAGGAAAUCAAGGAGGAAGAGAGCAUAGAGCCGGCCAAGGUGGCUCUGGAUGACAAGGUGGAGAAUGUCGAGCCCCGGGAGAGUGCUUCAGUCGCGAUCCUGCAGGAGGGAGAAAAGUUGGCGGUGCCAGAGAUUGACAGUGCUGCACCGGAUUCCAUGCAUGCGACAGAUGCCACCGUGGAGGACACACAGCGAGCAUCUUCUGCCAGUGAAGACAUUCACGAGAAUGUGGAAGAGGAGCAAACCAACGUCGCAGUGCUACAUGAAGUUUCCCAACGCGAGGUUGAGAUUGCCAUACCAGUAGAGGGACGCCCGCAGCUCGUGAACGAAGCCGUCCAGGAGCCACAGCCUGUGCCUGAGGCCGUUCCCGAGCAUGAGGACGUGCCUGAAGCUGCCGAAGAGGCUGCCAUGGAGGUGGAACCGGCGGAGCCAGUCGUAGCUCAAGUACCAACUGCCACAGUGGAUGACAUCUUACCCACACACGAGGAAAUCAAGGAGGAAGAGAGCAUAGAGCCGGCCAAGGUGGCUGUGGAUGACCACGUGGAGAAUGUCGAGCCCAGGGAGAGUGCUUCAGUCGCGAUCCUGCAGGAGGGAGAAAAGUCGGCAGUGCCAGAGAUGGAGAGUGGUGCACCGGAUUCCAUGCAUGCAACCGAUGCCACAGUGGACGACACACAGCGAGCACCUCCUGCCAGUGAGGACAUUCACGAGAACGUGGAAGAGGAGCAAAGCAAAGUCGAGGUGCAGCAUGAAGUUUCCGAACGCGAGGUCGAGCUCGCUGUCCCAGUAGAAGAACUCCCACAGUCGGGGAACAAAGAAGUCCAGGAGCCACAGCAUGUGCUUGAGGCCGUUCCCGAGACAGAGGCCGUGCCUGACGCUGCUGAAGAGGCGGCCAAGGAGGUGCAACCGGCCGAGCCAGUUGUAGCUCAAGUACCAACCGCGACAGUGGAUGACGUCUUACCCGCACACGAGGAAAUCAAGGAGGAAGAGAGCAUAGAGCCGGCCAAGGUGGCUGUGGAAGACCACGUGGAGAAUGUCGAGCCCAGGGAGAGUGCUUCAGUCGCGAUCCUGCAAGAGGGAGAAAAGUUGGCAGUGCCAGAGAUGGAGAGUGGUGCACCGGAUUCCAUGCAUGCAACAGAUGCCACAGUGGACGACACACAGCGAGCACCUCCUGCCAGUGACGACAUUCACGAGAACGUGGAGGAGGAGCAAAGCAAAGUCGAGGUGCAGCAUGAAGUUUCCGAACGCGAGGUCGUGCUUGCUGUCCCAGUAGAAAAACUCCCACAGUCGGGGAACAAAGAAGUCCAGGAGCCACAGAAUGUGCUUGAGGCCGUUUUCGAGACAGAGGCCGUGCCUGAGGCUUCUGAAGAGGCUGCCAAAGAGGUGCAACCAGCCGAGCCAGUCGUAGCUCAAGUACCAACCGCCACAGUGGAUGACAUCUUACCCACACACGAAGAAAUCAAGGAGGAAGAGAGCAUAGAGCCGGCCAAGGUGGCUCUGGAUGACAAGGUACAGAAGGUCGAGCCCCGGGAGAGUGCUUCAGUCGCGAUCCUGGACGAGGGAGAAAAGUUGGCGGUGCCAGAGAUUGACAGUGCUGCACCGGAUUCCAUGCAUGCAACAGAUGCCACCCUGGUGGACACACAGCGAGCAUCUUCUGCCAGUGAAGACAUUCACGAGAAUGUGGAAGAGGAGCAAACCAACGUCGCAGUGCUACAUGAAGUUUCCCAACGCGAGGUUGAGAUUGCCAUACCAGUAGAGGGACGCCCGCAGCUCGUGAACGAAGCCGUCCAGGAGCCACAGCCUGUGCCUGAGGCCGUUCCCGAGCAUGAGGACGUGCCUGAAGCUGCCGAAGAGGCUGCCAUGGAGGUGGAACCGGCGGAGCCAGUCGUAGCUCAAGUACCAACUGCCACAGUGGAUGACAUCUUACCCGCACACGAGGAAAUCAAGGAGGAAGAGAGCAUAGAGCCGGCCAAGGUGGCUGUGGAUGACCACGUGGAUAAUGUCAAGCCCAGGGAGAGUGCUUCAGUCGCGAUCCUGGACGAGGGAGAAAAGUUGGCGGUCCCAGAGAUCGAGAGUGCUGCACCGGAUUCCAUGCAUGCAACAGAUGCCACCCUGGAGGACACACAGCGAGCAUCUUCUGCCAGUGAAGACAUUCACGAGAAUGUGGAAGAGGAGCAAACCAACGUCGCAGUGGAACAUGAAGUUUCCGAACGCGAGGUUGAGAUUGCCAUACUAGUAGAGGGACUCCCGCAGUUGGUGAACGAAGCCGUGCAGGAGCCACAGCCUGUGCCUGAGGCCGUUCCCGAGCAUGAGGCGGAGCCUGAAGCUGCCGAAGAGGCUGCCAUGGAGGUUGAACCGGCGGAGCCAGUCGUAGCUCAAGAACCAACUGCCACAGUGGAUGACGUCUUACCCACACACGAGGAAAUCAAUGAGGAAGAGAGCAUAGAGCCGGCCAAGGUGGCUGUGGAUGACCACGUGGAGAAUGUCAAGCCCAGGGAGAGUGCUUCAGUCGCGAUCCUGGACGAGGGAGAAAAGUUGGCGGUGCCAGAGAUUGAGAGUGCUGCACCGGAUUCCAUGCAUGCAACAGAUGCCACCCUGGAGGACACACAGCGAGCAUCUUCUGCCAGUGAAGACAUUCACGAGAAUGUGGAAGAGGAGCAAACCAACGUCGCAGUGCCACAUGAAGUUUCCGAACGCGAGGUUGAGAUUGCCAUACCAGUAGAGGGACUCCCGCAGUUGGUGAACGAAGCCGUGCAGGAGCCACAGCCUGUGCCUGAGGCCGUUCCCGAGCAUGAGGCCGUGCCUGAAGCUGCCAAAGAGGCUGCCAUGGAGGUGGAACCGGCGGAGCCAGUCGUAGCUCAAGUACCAACUGCCACAGUGGAUGACAUCUUACCCACACACGAGGAAAUCAAUGAGGAAGAGAGCAUAGAGCCGGCCAAGGUGGCUGUGGAUGUCCACGUGGAGAAUGUCAAGCCCAGGGAGAGUGCUUCAGUCGCGAUCCUGGACGAGGGAGAAAAGUUGGCGGUGCCAGAGAUUGACAGUGCUGCACCGGAUUCCAUGCAUGCAACAGAUGCCACCCUGGAGGACACACAGCGAGCAUCUUCUGCCAGUGAAGACAUUCACGAGAAUGUGGAAGAGGAGCAAACCAACGUCGCAGUGCAACAUGAAGUUUCCCAACGCGAGGUUGAGAUUGCCAUACCAGUAGAGGGAAGCCCGCAGCUCGUGAACGAAGCCGUCCAGGAGCCACAGCCUGUGCCUGAGGCCGUUCCCGAGCAUGAGGCCGUGCCUGAAGCUGCCGAAGAGGCUGCCAUGGAGGUGGAACCGGCGGAGCCAGUCGUAGCUCAAGUACCAACUGCCACAGUGGAUGACGUCUUACCCACACACGAGGAAAUCAAUGAGGAAGAGAGCAUAGAGCCGGCCAAGGUGGCUGUGGAUGACCACGUGGAGAAUGUCAAGCCCAGGGAGAGUGCUUCAGUCGCGAUCCUGGACGAGGGAGAAAAGUUGGCGGUGCCAGAGAUUGAGAGUGCUGCACCGGAUUCCAUGCAUGCGACAGAUGCCACCUUGGAGGACACACAGCGAGCAUCUUCUGCCAGUGAAGACAUUCACGAGAAUGUGGAAGAGGAGCAAACCAACGUCGCAGUGCCACAUGAAGUUUCCGAACGCGAGGUUGAGAUUCCCGUCCCAGUAGAAGUACUCCUGCAGUCAGGGAACGAAGAAGUCCAGGAGCCACAGCAUGCGCUUGGGACCGUUCCCGAGCCAGAGGCCGUGCCUGAGGCUUCUGAAGAGGCUGCCAACGAGGUGGAGUCGGCCGAGCCACUCGUAGCUCAAGAACCAACCGCCACAGUGGAUGACAUCUUACCCGCACACGAGGAAAUCAAGGAGAAAGAGAGCAUAGAGCCGGCCAAGGUGGCUCUGGAUGACCACGUGGAGAAUGUCGAGUCCAGGGAGAGUGCUUCAGUCGCGAUCCUGGACGAGGGAGAAAAGUUGGCGGUGCCAGAGAUUGACAGUGCUGCACCGGAUUCCAUGCAUGCAACAGAUGCCACCCUGGAGGACACACAGCGAGCAUCUUCUGCCAGUGAAGACGUUCACGAGAACGUGGAAGAGGAGCAAGCGAACGUCGCGGUGCCACAUCAAGUUUCCGAACGAGAGCUUGAGAUUGCCGUCCCAGUAGAAGGACUCCCACAGUUGGUGAACGAAGAAGUCCAGCAGCCACAGCCUGUGCUUGAGGCCGUUCCCGAGACAGAGGCCGUGCCUGAGGCUUCUGAAGAGGCUGCCAAAGAGGUGCAACCAGCCGAGCCACUUGUAGCUCAAGUACCAACCGCGAAAGUGGAUGACAUCUUACCCACACACGAGGAAAUCAAGGAGGAAGAGAGCAUAGAGCCGGCCAAGGUGGCUGUGGAUGACCACGUGGAGAAUGUCGAGCCCAGGGAGAGUGCUUCAGUCGCGAUCCUGCAGGAGGGAGAAAAGUUGGCGGUGCCAGAGAUUGAGAGUGCUGCACCGGAUUCCAUGCAUGCGACAGAUGCCACCCUGGAGGACACACAGCGAGCAUCUUCUGCCAGUGAAGACAUUGACGAGAACGUGGAAGAGGAGCAAACCAACGUUGACGUGCCACAUCCAGUAUCCGAACGCGAGCUUGAGAUUCCCAUUCCAGUAGAAGGACUCCCGCAGUUGGGGAACAUAGAAGUCCAGGAGCCAGAGCAUGCGCUAGAGGCCGUUCUCGAGCUAGGGGCCGUGCCUGAGGCUUCUGAAGAGGCUCCCAAGGAGGUGGAACCGGCCGAGCCAGUCGUAGCUCAAGUACCAACUGCCACAGUCGAUGAUGUCUUACCUGGACACGAGGAAAUCAAGGAGGAAGAGAGCAUAGAGCCGGCCAAGGUGGCUCUGGAUGACCAGGUGGAGAAUGUCGAGCCCAGGGAGAGUGCUUCAGUCGCGAUCCUGGAUGAGGGAGAAAAGUUGGCGGUGCCAGAGAUCGAGAGUGCUGCACCGGAUUCCAUGCAUGCGACAGAUGCCACCCUGGAGGACACACAGCGAGCAUCUUCUGCCAGUGAAGACAUUGACGAGAACGUGGAAGAGGAGCAAACCAACGUUGACGUGCCACAUCCAGUAUCCGAACGCGAGCUUGAGAUUCCCAUUCCAGUAGAAGGACUCCCGCAGUUGGGCAACAAAGAAGUCCAGGAGCCAGAGCAUGCGCUAGAGGCCGUUCUCGAGCUAGAGGCCGUGCCUGAGGCUUCUGAAGAGGCUCCCAAGGAGGUGGAACCGGCCGAGCCAGUCGUAGCUCAAGUACCAACUGCCACAGUCGAUGACGUCUUACCCGGACACGAGGAAAUCAAGGAGGAAGGGAGCAUAGAGCCGGCCAAGGUGGCUGUGGAUGACCAAGUGGAGAAUGUCGAGCGCAGGGAGAGUGCUUCAGUCGCAAUCCCGGACGAGGGAGAAAAGUUGGCAGUGCCAGAGAUGGAGAGUGGUGCACCGGAUUCCGUGCAUGCGACAGAUGGCACAGUGGAGGAGUCACAGCGAGCAUCUCCUGCCAGUGAGGGCAUUCACGAAAACGUGGAAGAGGAGCAAACCAAAGUCGAGGUGCCAGAUGAAGUUUCCAAACGUGAGGUCAAGCUUUCCGUCCCAGUAGAAGAACUCCUGCAGUCAGGGAACGAAGCCGUCCAGGAGCCACAGCCUGUGCUUGAGGCCGUGCCUGAGGAUUCUGAAGAGGCUGCCAAGGAGGUGGAACCGGCCGAGGCAGUCGUAGCUCAAGUACCAACUGCCACAGUGGAUGACGUCUUACCUGCACACGAGGAAAUCAAGGAGGAAGAGAGCAUAGAGCCGGCCAAGGUGGCUCUGGAUGACCAGGUGGAGAAUGUCGAGCCCAAGGAGAGUGCUUCAGUCGCGAUCCUGGACGAGGGAGAAAAGUUGGCGGUGCCAGAGAUCGAGAGUGGUGCACCGGAUUCCAUGCAUGCGACAGAUGCCACAGUGGAGGACACACAGCGAGCAUCUUCUGCCAGUGAAGACGUUCACGAGAACGUGGAAGAGGAGCAAGCGAACGUUGCGGUGCCACAUCAAGUUUCCGAACGAGAGCUUGAGAUUGCCGUCCCAGUAGAAGGACUCCCACAGUUGGUGAACGAAGCCGUCCAGGAGCCACAACCUGUGCCUGAGGCCGUUCCCGAGCCAGAGGCCGUGCCUGAGGCUGCUGAAGAGGCUGCCAAGGAGGUGGAAGCGGCCAAGCCAGUCGUAGCUCAAGUACCAACCGCCACAGUGGAUGACAUCUUACCCACACACGAGGAAAUCAAGGAGGAAGGGAGCAUAGAGCCGGCCAAGGUGGCUCUGGAUGACCACGUGGAGAAUGUCGAGCCCAGGGAGAGUGCUUCAGUCGCGAUCCUGGACGAGGGAGAAAAGUUGGCAGUGCCAGAGAUCGAGAGUGGUGCACCGGAUUCCAUGCAUGCGACACAUGGUACAAUGGAGGACUCACAGCGAGCAUCUUCUGCCAUUGAGGACAUUCACGAGAACGUGGAAGAGGAGCAAACAAAAGUCGAGGUGCCACAUGAAGUUUCCGAACGCGAGGUCGAGCUUGCCGUCCCAGUGGAACAUCUCCCACAGUCAGGGAACGAAGAAGUCCAUGAGCCACAGCCUGUGCCUGAGGCCGUUCCCGAGCAUGAGGCCGUGCCUGAGGCUGCUGAAGAGGCUUCCAAGGAGGUGGAACCGGCCGAGCCAGUCGUAGAUGAAGUACCAACCGCCACAGUGGAUGACAUCUUACCCACACACGAGGAAAUCAAGGAGGAAGGGAGCAUAGAGCCGGCCAAGGUGGCUCUGGAUGACCAGGAGGAGAAUGUCGAGCCCAGGGAGAGUGCUUCAGUCGCGAUCCUGGACGAGGGAGAAAAGUUGGCGGUGCCAGAGAUCGAGAGUGGUGCACCGGAUUCCAUGCAUGCGACAGAUGCCACUGUGGAGGACUCACAGCGAGCAUCUUCUGCCAGUGAAGACAUUCACGAGAAUGUGGAAGAGGAGCAAACCAACGUUGACGUGCCACAUCAAGUAUCUGAACGCAAGGUUGAGAUUCCCGUCCCAGUAGAAGGACUCCCACAGUCAGGGAACGAAGAAGUCCAGGAGCCACAGC